rnacentral:rRNA from 1 species
AGUGAGCGCUGGCGGUAGGCCUAACACAUGCAAGUCGAACGGCAGCACAGGAGAGCUUGCUCUCCGGGUGGCGAGUGGCGGACGGGUGAGGAAUACAUCGGAAUCUACUUUUUCGUGGGGGAUAACGUAGGGAAACUUACGCUAAUACCGCAUACGACCUACGGGUGAAAGCAGGGGACCUUCGGGCCUUGCGCGAUUGAAUGAGCCGAUGUCGGAUUAGCUAGUUGGCGGGGUAAAGGCCCACCAAGGCGACGAUCCGUAGCUGGUCUGAGGGGAGGAUCAGCCACACUGGAACUGAGACACGGUCCAGACUCCUACGGGAGGCAGCAGUGGGGAAUAUUGGACAAUGGGAGCAAGCCUGAUCCAGCCAUACCGCGUGGGUGAAGAAGGCCUUCGGGUUGUAAAGCCCUUUUGUUGGGAAAGAAAUCCAGCUGGCUAAUACCCGGUUGGGAUGACGGUACCCAAAGGAUAAGCACCGGCUAACUUCGUGCCAGCAGCCGCCGUAA